UCGCGAUUAACAAAUUACGCUUCAACCUCGCGACCACACAGUUGUAGAAUAAUUCGCCCAAACUCGGAAUUCUGCCGGUUACUCAAGUUCUUUGAGAGGACAAAGAAAGAGAGUGAAGAGAGGGAGAAAAAUCGAGGAGUGAAGAGAGAGAAACCAAACCAGAAAUUCGAGGAGAGAGACACAGUUUUACUCAGUUACCCAAUUCUUUCCUCCACCUCAUCCCGUAACGGACUCCACGUAGGAAACGGGCUCAAAGUUUGAAUUACACGCGAAAAGACGAAAAUACCGCUACGCCAUCCUCCUCUCCUCACCACGAUAAACUGCCUCCUCUGAUCAAGUCAGGCGAACCUUCUCACUUUCCGUCCCAUCUCCUCCACAACAGCAGCAGAAUCAGAGAGGGUAACUCUGUGCUACCUUGUCCGCUACUCUGCUACCUUGUCCUCCUACUCUGCUACCUCUCCCUUCCUAAACUCUCCCUCAGUCCCUUUCCCUCCAUCUUACCAGUAUCAGGUAAUUAUCAUUUUUCCCAAGGUAGUUUCGAUUUUUAGGGUUUUUGUUGCUAUGAUUUUGUGCUAUUUUAACCCUUUCUAUUCAAACCCUUUUCUUACUUGGACCGGCGACUAGAGCAUCCAGCGUUGGUUUGAGAAAUCUUAAUCGUUAGUCGGUUAGUCCUCUAGGAGAUUUGGGGUUAAUUGUUUUAUGCCUACUAAUUUCUAUUGGAAAAUUACGAAUUCAUAUUCUGUUAAUGAUAAGGGGAAAUAAUGACCUACUCCGUAUCCAAUAGUUUUUUUUUCUUCCAAUCCAAAUAACCAUUUAAGAAUCCGUAGUUUUUUUAAAUCUUCAAUUGAUUGAAUACUAAGAUUGGGAUGUACAAAUGCUCGUUGUUCAUAUACUGUGUAUUUUGGUGGCGUUUGGUUUGAAUUUUAUCAAUUUGUUAUUGAAUUAGUUCACGUUUCUUGAGCUCGUGACAAAUUUGCGUCUGAAAUUUUUUAAUUUUGCUUUACUUUGUUCGAAAAUAUGAAUAUAUACUCCGUAUGUUUUUUGGGGAUUUUUAGGGAACCUUUGUAUAUUAUUAGGUUGGAUCUGCUAUAAAAAAAUAAAGGCAAUUUGGGAUGCCACUCAAUUUACAUUUAUUGUUAAUUUCUUAGUGUCAAUUGCAGCUACUUUGGAUUUCUAUUUUUUUGUUGUAUUUUAGAAUUUCUGAAAGAAUUUAUGAACUAUGGUUGGCAUUUUGAAACUGUAGGACCGGGGAUUGACUUCUCCUCCCUUGGUUUUGGAUUGAAUUCCCUCUAGUGAACUUACUCUAAUAGUUGUACACUUUAAUGCCUUUAUCACACUGGAAUUUUACAGUUGCUUGGGUUGUGUCUUGUGCAAAUGUUUAGGACACAGACUUAACUAUAGAACAUAUCUUGCAAAUAUUGGGCAUUUUAGAUACAAUCUUGGUCAAUGCCAAUUAAGGAUUCGUAUAGAUCUUCCUUGAUUUUCUGUUGUCAGUAGAUAGUGUCUGUAUUAGAUGAAAUGUCCUUAUUGUGUAAAGAAUGUUUAUUCUUUCUUUAGAUUUAUUCCUUUGUUACUAAUUACACUUGUUGGUUGUAUAAGCUGAAGUGAAAUAAUAUCUCAUAGCUAGCUACUGAAAUAGCUCAAACUAAACAACAUGAAGUUGCAGAGUUAGGUUCUGCCAUACUUGAAGAUCCAGAGUCAAAUAUUAAGUCUCUGAAAGAAUUACUAAGCUUCAGUGAAGAUGGUGAUAAAGCUAUUGCAAAGGUUGUAUGUUGUAGUUACCACAUCAGGCUUCCUUGUCAGAGCGAGAGAUGGUUGUUUCUAAGGCUGUAAAUAAGAUGCGGUAUUUUGAAUUAACGUUGUUAUUAUUCUCAUACAAGGUCAUAUUUAUUUAAGAAUUAAGAACAUCAAUAAUAGAUUUAUGUCGUACUUUCUUUUCCAUGUCAACAGUUUUCCAGGUUUUUGAAGAAUAAUCAACCGACAAACUUGAAAAUAUUAUAAAGUUCUUAUCCUCCUUUUAAGAUACAAGCUUAUGUUCAGAACAUAGAAGCACAUUUUUCAUGUGUUGUCUUUUCAAGAAUUCCACUAAAGAAAUCUUAUACUCCAUGUUUCUCAGUUUUGUUCAGAGAACUAGCUCAGAGCUCUCUGAUACGGAAACUCUCUAGUUAAGGGACUUUAUCAUAGAAUAUUCUCUCACCUUAUAAUUUAUUCUAAAUAGUACUAUUUACAACUUGAA